UACGUAGGGGGCUAGCGUUGUCCGGAAUCAUUGGGCGUAAAGCGCGUGUAGGCGGCCCGAUAAGUCCGCUGUGAAAGUCGGGGGCUCAACCCUCGAAAGCCGGUGGAUACUGUCGGGCUCGAGUACGGAAGAGGCGAGUGGAAUUCCUGGUGUAGCGGUGAAAUGCGCAGAUAUCAGGAAGAACACCCGUGGCGAAGGCGGCUCUCUGGGACGGUACUGACGCUGAGACGCGAAAGCGUGGGGAGCGAACAGG
rnacentral:rRNA from 1 species